GGGGGGGAGAUCCAGGAACGAGCCUUUCAACCAUACCAAAACCACAUUUCUUUAAUCCAAGUUCCUCAUGAAAGCUCACCAUUAAACAAAGGCUGCCUUAAACAAAGAUAUCCAACCAUAGCUAUUGGAAACUUACAAAAGAAAACCUCAAAACAUCCAUCGACAAUACCACCAAAGUUACUCAAGAUUGGCCAUAGCACCACCACCGUGCUAUUGUUCCGUUGGUGCUGGGUGUACCGCCACAGCAUCACUGCUCCGUCAAGCUCCGCUCAAAAUGAUUUUGUUUUCUUCACAUGCUUCAAUUUUAAUUUAUUUCCUGCCACAAAUCAAAGCUAAAAUAAAUUAGAGUUUUAGACUGUAUUGGUUUAUGAACCAAAAUCGAGAGGAGGUUCAUCGAGGUUUCAUCAGCGGGGCCUUCGGUUCGAGGUUCGUGGUUCCGAGUCCGAUUUGCUGCCGUCUGCUCGUUCAGAUUUUAGACUCACAUCUCGCUCGACUAAGUUGCUGUAAUUGUUGAAAUCCUAUUAAUUGAAAGGUUUUGAGCCCCUCAAAAAAGGAUAGUAGAAGAAAGCACUGUUAAACAUAUUGCUCGGAGAAUAUCAAUCCAAGAUGGAGAUAAAAUGGAUUUGAUAAAUCAAUACUUAGAAGGGUUGAAAAGAAAUCUGCUCCAAUCACUAGAUCAGUGUGAAAAAUCAGACACUUCAAUGAGAAGUGAGACGAGUGGUGAUGACCUCGUAGAAGAUACUCAACCUAUACAGCCAGAAAUGAUAUUAUCUGACAGAGAAAUCGACAAGGUGGAAGAAUUCCUCCAACAGAUGCAAAAUAUGGACAAAAAGAAGACUUGACAGCUUAUCAGCCGCCAGGACCCACUUAAACAGUAGAUACACUGUUCAUCAACAGUAGAAACACUGUUUAUCUACAGUAAAAACACUGUGUAGGAACCCAUAUGUGGGACCCAUUUUACUAUUCAAGAUUCUUUUUUUGGUUAUUUAAGAAUGCUUCUUCAUUUGAAGAAGAGAAGGCUGGAACCCCCCCUCUCUCUCUACUUUCUCUCUCCUCUCUCUCUCUCAACCAACCCCCUUUGUAAACACUUAGUUCAUAGCUUAGUUUGUAAAUCGAGUUCAAGAAUUAAUAAAAGUUUUGAAAUUCAUCUUCAGGGCCUUGCUUCUCGGCCUA